CCCUACCUUCGAAAUUUCACUUUAAUUUUCAUUAAUCUUCAAAUUAAAUACGACUAGAACUUUUUUUCCUUUAUUUUUUCUUCCCCCGUCUUUUUGUCUCUUCAUAUUUCUCUCUAAGGCAACCAUAAACACAGCAGUCACUAAUCCAGAAAUCGAUGUUGGACCGUCGUGCUGGCUCCCGUCGCUGGAGGUCGACGAAUUCCAACACUCUUUACCAGUCCCUUUUUGACCCUUUGAACAUGAAUAUGGAGUUGGAUUCUCCAAAAAUUGCCCCAAACUACACGAAUCUAUGCUUGAACAUUCGAACUUCUCCUUGCCCGAUAUUGAAAUUCGACUGCUGACUCAGUUCGAUUCCAAGGUAUGUUGUUCUCCUUGACCUCUACUAUAUUCCUAUCGUUCAGAUUUUCGAGAUGACGACCCGAGGCCUCAGAACUAGCCUCAACGCCAAAUUGAAUAUGUUCCUUUCUUUCUUUUUUCUUUAUAUUUUUUGCUUCUUUCUUUGAUUUUGUUUCCUUUCUCUCUGUUGCAGGCUUUCACUUCUCUUGAAGUUUUUUUUCUUUUUCUUUUUGUGUUGUUGGGGUGUGUUUGUGUGUGUUGUUGUUGA
rnacentral:lncRNA from 1 species